UAAAUACUACUUUGGCCACAGAGCAUUAGGGAAUAGGUGGUUUUCUUUGGAAUCAGUGUGAAUGUGGACAUGAACCUUUUGUUUUUUCUGUUCCCUGUAGGACUGAAUGUGGAACUAGCUGGUGUCAUCCCACUUUGACCUAAAAAUUCCUUUCUGUUUGGGUAGCAGAGAUCAUUCUUGAAAAGCUCUGCUGUGUCCCAAUGUAGAAGAAAGAGCAAAUUGGACAUCUUGAAAGGUGAAGGUCAUCUUUGAGCAAAGGGUUCCUGGACGCCUUCCCUCCAGGAUGAACACUGCAGUGUCGUGACCCUUGGGGUUUUGUGUGCCCUGGAGAUGCGAGAUUUUCCUUUGGCAGCAGGAGGCACACACCCAGAGAAUGCUGGAGCUGCGAGAGGAAAGGACCCACUUCCACAGCAGAGAAAAACAAAGAGGAAAAAGGCACACAGGAGGCCAGCACUAAGGGACGCACCCAGUAAGCAGUGGGCCACGGCCACUGCCCCUGGUAGCUGUUUCUGCUGCAG